GGCGCUAUCAUCUAAUGGUUAGGAUAUGUGGUUCUCAUCCACAAAAUCCGGGUUCGAUUCCCGGUAGCGCUACCA
rnacentral:tRNA from 1 species